UUGAUCCUGGCUCAGAUUGAACGCUGGCGGCAGGCCUAACACAUGCAAGUCGAGCGGUAACAGGAGAAAGCUUGCUUUCUUGCUGACGAGCGGCGGACGGGUGAGUAAUGUAUGGGGAUCUGCCCGAUAGAGGGGGAUAACUACUGGAAACGGUGGCUAAUACCGCAUAAUGUCUACGGACCAAAGCAGGGGCUCUUCGGACCUUGCACUAUCGGAUGAACCCAUAUGGGAUUAGCUAGUAGGUGGGGUAAAGGCUCACCUAGGCGACGAUCUCUAGCUGGUCUGAGAGGAUGAUCAGCCACACUGGGACUGAGACACGGCCCAGACUCCUACGGGAGGCAGCAGUGGGGAAUAUUGCACAAUGGGCGCAAGCCUGAUGCAGCCAUGCCGCGUGUAUGAAGAAGGCCUUAGGGUUGUAAAGUACUUUCAGCGGGGAGGAAGGUGAUAAGGUUAAUACCCUUGUCAAUUGACGUUACCCGCAGAAGAAGCACCGGCUAACUCCGUGCCAGCAGCCGCGGUAAU
rnacentral:rRNA from 1 species